GGGAGGGCCGGAGGGGGGGUUGUCACGUGACCCCUGGCUCCUCCAGGGGUCGGAGUCAGCCUGCUUCUUCCUCCCACAUCCCCGGCGAGCGCGGCCCCGCCCUUGCCGGCGCCAUUGUUGUCUGGGUGGCGGUCUUGGGCUCCCCGCGGCCGCGAGCGGUGCAACUCUUACUGCCUUGCUUUUGGAGAAGCGCGAAAGAGCUCGGCUUUGUUGCUCCCCGCCCUUGUGGGGCGGCGAGGUUCCCUCUGUGGAUAUUAGCUCACCGUGCCAGUUACCCUACUCUGCAACACCCCAACCCUGGCAAUUCGGCUCAGGGGCUUUUUGGGGAAGGCAUUUUUAAAAUACUAACUCCCCCAAGUGGUCCUCAACGCUGUCUAUCUAGCACAGUUCCUGGCUGUGGAAUUAAUGAAUGAGGCGUGCCUGUUUUAAAGAACGCUGUUGCUGCCCAUCACUGCAGGAUUCACUUUGGCCAAGAUGUUCUUGAUCACAUCUGAGGAUAUAGUUGACCCUUGAACCAUGCAGGGGUUAGGGGCACCAACCCUCCAUGCAAUUGAACAUCUGCAUAUAAUGUUUGACUCCCCCAAAUCUUAAGUACUAAUAGCUUACUGUUGACUAGAAACUUUACCAAUAAUGUAUUUUGUAUGUUAAAUGUAUUACAUGUUCUGUUCUUAAAUUAACGCCUAACUUUCUCUUAA